rnacentral:misc_RNA from 1 species
GAUGAAGAACGUAGCGAAAUGCGAUAAGUAGUGUGAAUUGCAGAAUUCAGUGAAUCAUCGAAUCUUUGAACGCACAUUGCGCCCCUUGGUAUUCCAUGGGGCAUGCCUGUUCGAGCGUCAUUUGUACCUUCAAGCUUUGCUUGGUGUUGGGUGUUUGUCUCGCCUUUGCGUGUAGACUCGCCUUAAAAUAAUUGGCAGCCUGCGUAUUGAUUUCGGAGCGCAGUACAUCUCGCGCUUUGCACUCAUAACGACAGCGUCCAAAAGUACAUUUUACACUCUUGACCUCGGAUCAGGUAGGGAUACCCGCUGAACUUAAGCAUAUCAAUAAGCGGAGGA